GCCUGUACAAAUCUAUCCUACGCUGAACUAAGCAGAAGCAUUAGAGGUCAUAUAAAUGUUCCUUGUCUUAGUUACUGAAUCUGGUUUCUAUAAUCUGAAGACACAAUGAAGAUACUUGAAGUUGAACUGGAAAAGCAGUACAUACAAGAUUUAUUGUUCCCGACGGAAUCUUAGUCCUGCUGCCUUUUAUAUCCAUUCUGAUAUCACUGAAUCAACCUGAAGUCCUAUGGAUAAAAGAAGAAAUUAUUUUAGAUUUUCCUGAGGCUCAGCCUUCAUCACAAUAUAAGAUAUCCAGUUGCAUCUCCACCAUCCCUGCAACUCUCUUCCUACUCUCAAGUUUACUGGAUUUCUUGUUAUUUAUUGAUUUCUAACUUCCAAGGUCUGCGUAAGAUACCUUUGUGGUUAAGCUCCUGUACUAAUCUCUCUCUUUUUUUGUUAUUAUUCUUUUUUAUUUUUUAAUUCUGUAAAUUAAUGCCAGUUAGUGAUUGCUACUUGGGUCACUAUCAUCUUAUGCUCUCUCAUCCCAAGUGUAUUACAAGAAUGAAAAACUAUUUAUGGUUGAACUGUACUAACUCUGUCUUCCUUUGCUGCACUUACCUGAAGUGCUUUAAAAGGACUCAAUGAAGGACAGGGAAGUAUUUUCAAAUUAUAGCUGUGAGUGAUGACCAGAGAAUAAGAAACCUCCGACCUGAAAUUAGAGGAGCUCUUGACACUGGCUACAAUUCUGAAUAGUAGUUCAAAGCCAAAGAAGAAACAAUAAUAUUAUGUCAUUCACUGGGAAAAAAAAAAUAAUCCACUGUUAGAUUUUUAGCAAAUAAACAAGUAUAUAUGAUUACAGAGAGGAAAAAAAAGGAUUUUUGGAACUGUGUCUAAGUUUGAAUAAAAUGCUUUUAUGUGUUUACAAAAUUAUUGUAAAGGAUGAUUGUUGAUCUGCUGAAGCCUUCUUGAUUCUCCAUUUUUCUCAGUUUGAAUUAUAAAAACUGUAACUGUAUAUUCUGAACCCAGAAGAGAAAAUCUAGAAGAAUAUUCUGAAUUUUUCUAACCAUCUGUUGAAAAACGUCAUGAGCGCUUGUUUAUCUGCACUUCUGUAAGUUCUCAACAUUGAUUGUAUUUUAUUUUCUGUAUCUAAUUACUCUUCAGAAUGAUAUGUUUAUACUACUGGAAAACUUCUAUUUUAGAGUGGAAUUAUGCAUACAGUAUUCAUAUGGAUCUGAUCAGAACUGAAUAAUGCAGAUAUUUUUAUAAGUGCAUCUUUUGAUAGGAAAAAAGUGUCAUAAUAUAUUUAAAAAGCCACCACCUUUCAAGUAAUAAUGAUAGCAUCUUUUGUGAUCUGGAAGUUCAAUAUGAAUAUUCAUUAAAAAUAAUGAUGAUAUCCUGACUGUCUUGUGGGAAUAUUACUGUAGCAUCAGAAAUUCCUCCUGAAUUCUUCAACUGAGCUUAUGCUGCCAUAUUUAUUCUAAAAUUCUGGAAAUCUUGUGAAGGCAAGAUGCAAGUGAGAUUUCCAGUAUAUGCAGAACUGCAUCCCAGCCUUAUAUAUGAUUUCAAAUGCUCACCAUUCCUGAUACAAGCCAUUGGCUUUCUUGGCUACCUGGGCGCACUGCUGGCUCAUAUUCAGCCAACUGUCCAUCAGCACACCAAGGUCCCUUUCUGUCAGGCGGCUUUCCAGCCACUCCUCCCUAAGCCUGGGGUUGCCUGGGGUUGUUGUGACCAAAAUGCCGGACCUGACACUUGAUUCUAUUGAAACUCAUACAGUUUACCUUGGCUCAUUGAUUCAGGUCCCUCUGUAAUGCCUUUCCUCCCUCUGGCAGAACAACACUCCCUACCAACUUGGUGUUAUCGGCAAACUUACUGAGGGUGCACUCAUCCCCUCAUCAAGAUCAUUAAUCAGGAUGUUAAAUAGAAGCGGCCCUAGAACAGAGCCCUGGGGGACAAUGCUCGUGACUGGCCUCCAACUGGAUUUAACUCCACUGACCACAACUCUUUGAGUUCGGCCAUCCAGCCAGUGUUUCAUCCAGCCGAG